rnacentral:rRNA from 1 species
UGCCAGCCGCCGCGGUAAUACGGGGGGUGCAAGCGUUGUUCGGAAUCAUUGGGCGUAAAGAGCGUGUAGGCUGGUAUGCAAGUCGGGUGUGAAAGCCCAGAGCUCAACUCUGGAACUGCGCCCGAAACUGCGUACCUUGAGUACGGGAGGGGAAAGCGGAAUUCUUGGUGUAGGGGUGAAAUCCGUAGAUAUCAGGAGGAACACCGAUAGCGAAGGCAGCUUUCUGGACCGAUACUGACGCUGAGACGCGAAAGCGUGGGUAGCAAACAGGAUUAGAUA